rnacentral:rRNA from 1 species
GAUGAACGCUAGCGGCAGGCCUAAUACAUGCAAGACGAACGGUAAGUUGAGUAGCAAUACUUAGCCAAGAGUGUCGUACGGGUGCGUAACACGUAUGCAACCUACCCUAUACAGGAGGAUAGCCUAGGGAAACCUGGAUUAACCCUUCAUAGUAUUAUUGGAUGGCAUCAUUUGAUAAUUAAAACUGAGGUGGUAUAGGAUGGGCAUGCGUCUGAUUAGUUAGUUGGCGGGGUAAUGGCCCACCAAGACGAUGAUCAGUAGGGGUUCUGAGAGGAAGAUCCCCCACACUGGCACUGAGAUACGGGCCAGACUCCUACGGGAGCAGCAGUAGGGAAUAUUGGUCAAUGAUGCAAGUCUGAACCAGCCAUGCCGCGUGCAGGAAGAAGGGCCUUCUGGGUUGUAAAACUGCUUUUGCCAGGGGAUAAAAUUUUACCAUGCGUGGAAAAACGUAGAAGGUAACCGUGGUGAAUAAGCCACGGCUAACUACGUGCCAGCAGCCGCGGUAAU